GAUGAACGCUAGCGGGAGGCCUAACACAUGCAAGCCGAGCGGUAUUUGUCUUUCGGGACAGAGAGAGCGGCGUACGGGUGCGGAACACGUGUGCAACCUGCCUUUAUCUGGGGGAUCACCUUUCGACAGGAAGAUUAAUACCCCAUAAUAUAAUGAAUGGCAUCAUUUAUUAUUGAAAACUCCGGUGGAUAGAGAUGGGCACGCGCAAGAUUAGAUAGUUGGUGAGGUAACGGCUCACCAAGUCGAUGAUCUUUAGGGGGCCUGAGAGGGUGAUCCCCCACACUGGUACUGAGACACGGACCAGACUCCUACGGGAGGCAGCAGUGAGGAAUAUUGGACAAUGGGUUAGCGCCUGAUCCAGCCAUCCCGCGUGAAGGACGACGGCCCUAUGGGUUGUAAACUUCUUUUGUACAGGGAUAAACCUACUCUCGUGAGAGUAGCUGAAGGUACUGUACGAAUAAGCACCGGCUAACUCCGUGCCAGCCGCCGCCGUAA
rnacentral:rRNA from 1 species